ACCGUGACUUAUUAUUCUGAAGACAUAUACAGUGCCAUAAAGCCGGAGAGUCAUAUUUGAUCUGUAUACCUCGCUUCCUCUCAACGAUAAAGUUUAUGUUAUUUGUAAACACUUUUUAAUGCUGAUUGGUGAAAGGAGUGAGGUGCCUCGGGUGUCGCAAGGGGGCGCUAGGGUAUAACCACAUCUCUGCAUCGCUGUGAAAAUAUGGAUUUAUUACGUUAAAGACCUCUUUAAAGGAUUUACAUACAUUUUUUUGAAUGAAAAAAAAAAUGUUACACUAAAAGCAACAGAUAUCAAUAAAUAUGAUUAAUAAAACAUAUAGCAAAUAGUGUUUAAUAAUGGAUGCAGUGCAUUAGAAUUAUCCGUGUACGUUUUUGUUUGUUUGUUUUGUUUUGUUUUUCGCGGGACAUAUCCGUGCAAGAGAAUUGACGCCCGGUGAUCUGUCAUCAGUAAACCUCUCCCAUCCGACUCAGAGGAGGAGUGUGGCGUGUCACAGUACAAACGAGGAAUAGGAGGAAUAACCGCUAGCAUUUCUCAUAUCAACGUCUGAUGUUCCGCUAAUGCAAAGCUGUUUAAGUUACUUUUCCUUGUUUGUUAGUUAUGCUAUGCGCUGAAUAUUAACAGUAUCGAUCAGUCGGACUGAUCAGUGGUCAAUGGUGUGAGCGGCUCUCUCUCUCUCUCUCUCUCUGGAUACCAGCAGAUUCAAUGCAAACGAGAGCCGGAGGUGAUGAAAGAUCUGGGCCGAUGCUGCAGAGGAAGGAGUCGUUUUCUCUCCUCUCGUCAUCAGAGAAGUGGCUCUUCAGUGGGAAGAAGAGGAAGCAGAGGAAGAGAGAUGUGGAUUCGCUCAGUCUGUGCAGCUUGGACAUCAAUGUGAGUUACAUAAAUGUGUGUCUAGGCCUACAGUACACAUAAUGCACUGCACUGUGGGAAGAAAACAUCAAUUACUCUGCACUAUCCAUCAGAGAGUGCUGCAGGGAUGGGGUUUUGUUCUUGUUUUUUUGUAGGCCACAACCCAAAAUCAAGUUUGUACAGUAUUUUAGCACUUCAUGUUUCAUUGUCCUGAAGUCAAAUUUUAUUUUUAGGCUAAAUGCCUGAAAGAAGGUCUGUGAUUAACACAAGCUCAAUAUAUUUUCAUGUUUUAUUCUAUGAUAUAAAAGACAUGAGUAAUAUAAGUAAAGACUGUAUGAAGCUUAGUUAUUGUGAUGUUGAGGUCAUGUGACCAUGGUGUAGUUUAUUUAUUGAGUCUUAUAUAUAGCUUUUUACUUCUGCUGACUGUAUUUAGGCU
ensembl:lncRNA